GUUUGCUUCUAGCCUCUACUAGCGCGUCUCUCUCUCUCCCUUCAUCUCUCUAUCUCUAUCUUUCUCUCUCUUUGAAGAACAAAACUCAUCCGAGCUAAGAUCUUAUGCCUACCAAAUGUGCUACUUUUUCUAUUUCUAUAUCUACAUGCUCUCUCUCUCUCUCUCUCUGUCCGACGAGCGCGAGCUCAUCUGAGCUACAUUGGAACAAAAUCCACCUGGUUCUUGCGAAGAUUUCAUAGUGUACUCGUGAUUCCGCGUUCUGAGUGGAGUGGCAAUGAUGUCGUUUAAAGCUGCAAGGGUUCCCAACGACAAAGAACAUCCUUAUGGUCACUCUUGAUUUAUAUCUACAGUUUACUCUUUUGAUCUUACAUCACUUGGUCUUGCAUGAUUUUACCUUUUAAUUUUGUGUUUGCAUUUACUUGAGUAUGGGCGUAAUAAUACCAACAUACUAUUAGAUUAAGUUAAGGGCGGGCAGGGUUUGUUCCCAUGAGUGAUUUGGUAAAAUUUAAUCAAUACAGAAUAUUGUAGAGCCAAGGUAUGAAUCUUAUUUACUUGUAAAUGAGCAUGAAUCUUAUCAUUGUCGGCUCCUUAAACUUUACAACUUAGCGAAAGGCAGAAUGCCCUAGAAACAUGUACUCCCUCCGUUCGUAUUUUAUUUGACACACGUUUGAUCGGGUGCAGAGUUUAAAUAUGUACAUUCAACUCAUGUAUUAUAUUACUAGUAGUAGGAGAAAACAUUACUGUGAUGGUUGAAAAGUUAGUUUGAUAGAAAACAUAAGUCUAUAUCAAUAGUUAAUAAAAUUGAAUGUGACCAUGACAUAUCCAGGUUGAACUAGCUAUACAAAUCUUGGUGCAGCCCUAUGACAAAUCCAGGUUGAACUUCUGAAACAAUAGAAAAAGAAAAAGGAAAUAUUUGUUGAUUCUUUCUUUGUGUACUGCUUUCUCAUCACGUGUCUUGGAAAAAUAUUUGUCUAUUGUUUCUGAUAAUUUGGAAUCCCAAUUUCAUGUUCUCGUUGGUGUAGCCACUAAUAACAGAUGAGGUACUUGCAUUUCGUUGCAUAUCUCUUCUUCUGCUCUGUGUUAACAUCUUGUAUCAUUGUCAUUAAUUUUCCGUAAGUCUUUUGUUUCCUCUUCUCUUGUGGUGUAUGUGACAUCAUCUAGUAUUAUUGACUUCCUUAUUUUCAGAGGGUACAUAUAACUGGUGAAUUUACAUUCUUAUAGGUCAUAUGUAAACAAGAACAUUGGGGGCACUAGCUACACUAUGCAGUUCAUCUGAAAUGACUGGAUAUCUAGGUUUGAUAACUGGUUGGGAGUGACCUUGUUUUAAUUAGAGGACUGGCAAACUUGAAUAGCACAUAUCCCAACUAGAGGCGACUUUUCGCCAUUCAAGCUAUGUGAUUGGCAUACGCUCAGGGCACAAAACGUCAUGCUGCCAAAUUGACAGGCAGCUAUUCUGUUAUUUGAUUGAGAAUAUUUGUCCUUUUUGAUUAUGAAGAAUCAAAAGUUUAUGGCUUACAGUAGUAUGUUUUUAUGAAAAAAUAUAUAGUUACAUCUACUUCCAACUUAAGUCUACUUCACCCUGUCGGUUUCCCCAAAGUUUAUGAUUUGGUAAAUAUGUGAAUAAUUCACUACAUUCAAUUCUACUUGAGUUGCACUUUUACUUCUCUUAUUGUUCUUCAUUUUAGUUAUACCUUUACUCUGGUGCUUGUAAAGGUACCCUCUCAAUGGUCCUUAUGGCAGUAAGCAAUAAACUUGGUGUUAAAGUGCUCAACAGACCAAAUUAUGAUUGCAGUCAUUGUAUGACAUUGAGCUACUUCUUCAUACUCUCUAUCCCAAUUUGUGAUACAUAAUUUCGAUGGAAAUUCAAAUAACUUCUCUGUGUAUUAUGGUUUUCGUAAACAAGUUAACUAGCCUUUCAAUUUUAAGAAUGUGUUGAUUAUAGUGCUGUUAUUCUAAUCUAAAACAUCCUCUCAUAUCCUCUAAGUCCUUGCUUGGAUUCAAAACAAUGGAUCUUUUAGGGUUAUCAUUAUAUGAAUCUCCAUGCAAACUCAUUAAUUCAUUGUCUGAUAGAACACAAUCUUCUUCUUGAGUCUGACUAGGAAACUCUGCUAGCAUAUUUGAGACAAACCCAGACUCAAUAUAUUUCCCAGUUCCACAAAUCUGUUUAUCUUUGUUUUAUCCUUUGACACUAGCUAACUCUGUAAUAGAAUUAUUGGUUUUAUCUAAAAUCAUGUCAUCUUCUUCUUCAGGAUAGUCAGAGUCAUGGAAUGACUCACAAUCUUCACUUGUAGCAUCACUAUCGUUAUCUCCCUCUACUAUAUUCACAUCUACGAAGCCUUCUUCGUCAUGAAGUUGCCCUCUAAAUCAGUCACAUCAUAGCUCCAUUGGUCCUCAUUUGUGCGCUCAACAAAUAUCUCAACCUCUCUAUUCACAGCAGAAAAUGAAAAAGAAGAGGACCAGAAGGAAAUUAUGAAGAUACCAUGAGUUUGGUAAGGAGACAACUCAAAAAAUUGCAGAGACAGAUAGGGAAAUGGUCAUUUGUACACAACGACCAUUUAAAAAAGAGAGCACUGAUAAUAAGGAGGAGAAACUGGAAAUCAGUAAUCUGUUCAUUCACACAAACAUAAUAAGGAGAAACAAUUUGGGUAGAGGAAUUGAAAAGAAAGUGGCAGCAAUCGAGGUCGAAUUAUUCAAGAUAAACUGGACAUGUGCAGAUUCUAAGAUACAAUUGAGAGCAUUGAAUAUAUGUGGUGUUUUUGGCAAUGCAUCAAAGAUGUUUUAGUGAAACUUUUUCAAUUUCUAAUAGAAAUUGAAUACCAUUUUGUGUUAGCAUACAGUUCCUUAAAGUGUAUGAAACUAAGUUCAUAAUUUGCACAUCAUCAAGCCAAUAAUUCCAAGUAUUUCAGUA